UAUGUAUUUUUCUACAGUGACGCUACGUCAUGUCCUGCAUAAUUCAUCAAAGAAAGCGUUUUAUUGUUCAAUUAAACAUUUAAUAACUUUGAAAGAAAUUUGAUGCAUAGCAAAAAUAAAUGAGUUUCCAUUGAGUGAUAUUUAUACCCCCGCUGCGAAGGAGAAGGGGGUACACUGUUUUACCCUUGUGUGUCCGUCUGUCCGUCACAAAAAAAUCUGUCGCAUUUUUCUCAGCAACUAUUUAUCGCAGAUGCUUGAAAAUUUAUCACACUAGUUGUUUAAGCAUGUUAUAUCGUGGGAUAUAUUUUUGCACCAAUCGGAAUCCAACUUUUUGUUAAAUGACUUCUUUGUUUAUUUUUAGUAAAAAUUUUAAAACAAACUUUCGUCAAAGAUUUCUCAGCAACUGUUUAUCGCAGAUGCUUGAAAUUUUAACACAUUAUUUGUUUAGGCAUACCAUAUUGUGGGAUGUAUUUUUGUACUAAUCGGACGCCAACUUUCUGUUAAAUGACUGCUUAAUUUGAAUAUUCACAUUAGAGCGGGGGUAUUACUAGUGAGCAUUGCCUCACAGAUAUCUUGUUGGUUUUGUUAUUUGAAUAACAAGCAUGCAUAGGUUCAUUUGGUGCCAACUGUUCCGGUGGACCUUGUAUAAAGGGGUAUUUCGGUCAUGGCUGUAAGGAUAAAUGUAACUGUACGAAACAACAAGACUGUGACAGAAUUGUUGGAUGUACCGUUUCAAAACUGCUGAAUGGAUAUGAGAUCUCUAGAUCAAAUAGCGAUCUGAGAGAUAAAAUUCUACUUGUUCUUCUUGGAAUCCUCAUCGGAACUGUCAUGUCAGCAGCUGGAUACGCUUUGAAAUGGGUUUUCAACAGACGUAAUACCCAGGUUCCAAAUAUCCAUGGUCGGGAACCAUCUAACUAUGUUGAUCGUGAAGAAAUAUUCUUGCCACGUGUAUACGAUCAACCAAACAUAGAUGACAGGUCAUCGGUGUACUGUGAUGUUAGUGAAAGAGAGCAAGACGAAACAAGUACACCAAACAUCUACAUAGAGUGUGUGUAGUCACAUGCUUUAAAUAAACUCAUUCUUUUAGGCGUUUUCAUACGCUCCGUGACAUGAAAAACAUAUCUGUCUACUUCUAUGCCAGCCUGAAUUUAACAGACAUUUCUAGGUGUCGUAGGAAGUUAUCUGGGUUUUAUUUUACUUGUAUUUGUCCUAAAUUAAUGUUAAUUUUCAAUAAACAUACUAAGUUUUUUCUGCAUUUGUUUGGUACCAUUUUUGGGUAUGGUAUUUAUCAUACAAUCAAUAUAAUUUAAUGAAAAUUUCAAUCGUAAGGAUGCGCAAAUAUAUUCUAUUAAUAAACCAUUACUGUAUCGAUUUAUAUUCGUAAGAAUCUGAAACUGAAGUUAUGUCUUAAGAGCUCUUUUAAACAUUAAGUGCAAACAUUUCCUUUCGUAUGCCAAUACCGUAAUGUUUGAGGGGA